UACGUAGGGAGCAAGCGUUGUCCGGAUUCACUGGGUGUAAAGGGUGCGCAGGCGGGCGAGUAAGUCAGAGGUGAAAUCUCACAGCUUAACUGUGAAACUGCCUUUGAUACUGCUUUUCUUGAGUUCGGGAGAGGUUGAUGGAAUUCCAGGUGUAGCGGUGAAAUGCGUAGAUAUCUGGAAGAACACCAGUGGCGAAGGCGGUCAACUGGCCCGGUACUGACGCUGAGGUGCGAAAGCGUGGGGAGCAAACAGG
rnacentral:rRNA from 1 species